rnacentral:rRNA from 1 species
UACAGAGGUCUCAAGCGUUGUUCGGAUUCAUUGGGCGUAAAGAGCUCGUAGGCGGUCUGUUGCGUCUGCUGUGAAAACCCGGGGCUUAACCCCUGGCUUGCAGUGGAUACGGACAGACUAGAGGUAGGUAGGGGAGAAUGGAAUUCCCGGUGUAGCGGUGAAAUGCGCAGAUAUCGGGAGGAACACCGGUGGCGAAGGCGGUUCUCUGGGCCUUACCUGACGCUGAGGAGCGAAAGCGUGGGGAGCAAACAGG